UACGGAGGGUGCAAGCGUUAUCCGGAUUCACUGGGUUUAAAGGGUGCGUAGGUGGGCAAGUAAGUCAGUGGUGAAAUCUCCGGGCUUAACCCGGAAACUGCCAUUGAUACUAUUUGUCUUGAAUACUGUGGAGGUCAGCGGAAUAUGUCAUGUAGCGGUGAAAUGCGUAGAUAUCAAGAGGAACACCUGAGGUGAAGACGGGUUGCGUGGGCUGACACUGACGCUGAGGCGCGAAAGCUAGGGUAGCAAACGGG
rnacentral:rRNA from 1 species